rnacentral:lncRNA from 1 species
UAAUCUGGUGCUCCUAAUCCACGCGCCGGAAGUUUUUGCUCUGCUGCUAUGUAUGGCUCGUACGAGACUGGAUAAUCCUUUUCUGUCGGUGGCGCUGUUAUUACUGGACUGGUAGUGUUAUGGAUUUACGUUCUGCUGGUUACUAGCCUGAUGAAUCUGCAGAGUUGGGCACUUAUAUCGCGAGCCCUUAUGUUUACGCACUUUGCCUUGCCAUGGUAAUAAUAUGUGAAGACUACGUGAGCCACCUGUUGCUGCUAUUAUGCUGCUGCAUCUAAUUUCUCUUCUUAUUACUUCAUUGGUUAUUUUUCUGCAUUCUGCAUUCUGGGAUCGCUGUGCGGUCAAGUGAAAUUGUUGUGAUUGGAAAUACAGUAGAGCACAUGCUGAGUGUGAAAAACCGGCUAUUGGUUGAUCACUUGUGUUAUUCGCAACUGCUAUGGUGAAUGCCUCUAGCACAAGUAGGCGUAAACAUAGACUAGUAACAGGGAAGGAACAGUUACUGAAUUUACCAGUAUUGGGAUGAUGAUAAAUUGAUAAUCAGCCCUUGUUGUUUAUGCACUUUGUCUUGCCAUGGUAAUAAUAUGUGAAGACUACGCUAGCCACCUGUUGCUGCUAUUAUGCUGCUGCAUCUAAUUUCUGUUCUUAUCACUUCAUUGGUUAUUGUUCUGCAUUCUGGGAUUGUUGUGCUGUUGGCAGCGUUUAUGUGAAAUUGCUGUGAUUGGAAAUACGGUAGAGGACAUGGUGAGUAUUGACAUAUUGGUUGAUCACUCGUG